AUGUUGCCUCAUGCUUUGCCUGUCCCACCGAGUGCUUCCAGCUGUGCUGCACACAGAGCAGUUCAGGAGUCCCUCCAGGAAUGUAGCCCUCCCCCUCUCUCUUCUACAAAACUCAGAGGGACUCUUCAGGAGCCACAUGCUCUCAUCAAGCAGAAACUUUUUAAGAGGUAGACAACAACCCAGAGUGGACACAGAGCUGGUGCUCUUCCAGUAGAGUAGAGACGGGGUUUCACCAUGUUGGCCAAGCUGAUCUCGAACUCCUGACCUCAAGUGAUCCACCCUCCUCGGCCUCCCAAAGUGCUGGAAUCACAGGCGUGAGCCACCGUGCCCAACCAGUGAGGCCACGUUUCGAAAAGAAGAAAGAAACGACAAACUAAAAUACAUGACUGUGUAGAUGAGGAAGGACAUGAAAUGAAACAGGAAAAAGGUGACCUGAAAACUUUUAAGAAUUUUAUGUUAUCAUUGGUAUUUUCCUCAAAAUCACUUAAGUAUCAUAAAGCUUUGCAGGAAACUUUUGGUUUGGCUGCAAGGAGAGAAUUCAGGACAUACUCAUCCAGUUGUUAUCUGAGGGACUUCCUCUUAACAGCUCUUAAUUUCAAAGAUUAUGUAUCAUAUCCUUGUUCUUCAACCAGACUGUAAUCCUCUGGAGGGCAGGGGCCAUUGAUUCACUCAAACAUUUUUGUUAGGCACCUGCUAGAUGCUGGGGAUGGUAAGUUGAUACUUCCUGCCAUCACAUCUUCCUACGCCAGCCACCUGCCUGCAUCCCUGACAAGCGCCUGUUUGCCACCUCCUGGGAACUACACCCUCCUCUUCUAGAGACACCCUGUACUUUUGGCUCAGCCCUCAUGAUGCCAACUAUUUGUUUGGAUCAGCACCUGUUGUUUGCCUGAACAUAUGUUCUGCCUAACAGACCUUUCUCCUGGUCCUUGGAUCCAGUCUACCGCCCCCACUUCCAACUGCCCCUCUCUAUUGGUGUGUCUCCUUCAAGGUUCUAGACCCUCUUAGGCUUUCCAUCCAAGUCUUUUCUGGGCUACAGUACUUCACUUAUAAAGAUUUUCAUUCCACAAAUGUUCAUUGAGCUUCCCCUUAGUGCCAGGAGCUGUGCCAGUUGAUAAAGACACAUGUUAAUGGUUAUCAGGCUGCUAAGAAAAACAUAGGCAUGUGAAUACGAAUGUAUAAGAAAAUGCUACAAAUGCCUCAAGAGAUGUGUGAAUGAGAUAGAGGGGCACCAAAACACAGGUGAUCAAUUUUUCCAUGAGGUUAGGGCUAGGCAGGUAAGAUUUCAUGAGUAAACAUUAGAUAGAGUAGCUUCAACUAGAUCUCUGCUUCUAUAACAGCUCUUGACAUUCUCACUUGACCACACUGCAUUGCUGGUCAGAGAUCUGGCAGCACUGGACAGAAGAGAGGGCAAGACAGGCUAUCUAAGGGAAUCUAGGUCUCAUCUCCAAAUUGGGUUAUUUAUUCUUGUAUUGUCGAGUAGUAAGGGUUCAUUAUGUGCUAUGGAUACACUUAAUGAACUAUUAUUUCAUUAUAUGUUUUCCUCUAAAUUAGCCUUCUUUUUUUUUUAGACGGGUCUCACUCUGUUGCCCAGGCUGGAGUGCAGUGAUGUGAUCAUGGCUUACUGCAGCCUCAACCUCCCAGUCUCAAGACAUCCUCCUGCUUCAGCCUCCCAAGUAGUUGGGAUUACAGGUGUGCUCCAGCACAGGUGGCUAAUUUUUGUAUUUUUAGUAGAGACAGAACUUCACCAUGUUGCCCAGGCUGGUCUUAAACUCCUGGGGUCAAGCAAUCUACCCUACUCAGCCUCCUAAAGUAGUGGGAUUACAGGCAUGAGCCACCAUGCCAGGGCCUUCUAAUUUAGUCUUGACAUCUCUCUUAGGAUAGAGACUAUAUAAACUCUAGCCCUGGGCUGUAGGGAAUUUGGUCAUGGCUGCUUACAGUGUCCUUUCAUGAGAUACUUCUUUAUCCUGGCAGAUGCUUUUGUUGCUGUCUGAUCUGUGUCCAGUUUAUUCCUACCAAGAUGGCCACUGUCUAGGAGAUCCCUGGCUAGUAAAAAAGUUAGAUUUGGGUGUGUCAGUCAGGUGAGCCAUGUAAGAGGCAGCACAACAAAAUGCAUGAAGUAGCAGAAGCAGCGUAUUACUCACAGGUCCUAGAGGGAGGAGGGCAGCACACCAAUAGGAAUUGAGAGCCACCUGGUACAAAAAAGCCCAACUAGUAUUUAAAAUGGAUGCCGAGACAACAUAAAAUGACAAUAAUUCACUACCAUCCCUUACAAACUAUGAUUUGUAAAUAUUUUCUCCCAUUACCUAAGCUAUCUUUUUACUUUCUUGAUGAUAUUCUUUGAAACACAAAAUUUUUUAUUUAAAGAAGUCUAAUUUAUUUUUAUUGUUGUUGUUGCUUAUAUCUUGAGUGUUGUAUGUAAGAAGGGUUUGCCUACACCAAAGUCACAAAGAUUUACUCCUAUAUUUUCUCCUAAGAGUUUUAUAGUUUUAGCUCUUAAAUUUAGAUCUCUGGUCCGUUUUAAUAAAUUUUUAUAAAUGGUA